UACGAAGGGUGCAAGCGUUACUCGGAAUUACUGGGCGUAAAGCGUGCGUAGGUGGUUUUUUAAGUCCGUUGUGAAAGCCCUGGGCUCAACCUGGGAAUGGCAGUGGAUACUGGAAAGCUAGAGUGCGGUAGAGGGUAGUGGAAUUCCCGGUGUAGCAGUGAAAUGCGUAGAUAUCAGGAGGAACACCGAUGGCGAAGGCAGGUCUCUGGGCUGACACUGACGCUCAUGCACGAAAGCGUGGGGAGCAAACAGG
rnacentral:rRNA from 1 species